UACGGGGGGGGCAAGCGUUGUUCGGAAUUACUGGGCGUAAAGGGCUCGUAGGCGGCCAACUAAGUCAGACGUGAAAUCCCUCGGCUUAACCUGGGAACUGCGUCGGAUACUGGAUGGCUUGAAUCCGGGAGAGGGAUGCAGAAUUCCAGGUGUAGCGGUGAAAUGCGUAGAUAUCUGGAGGAAUACCGGUGGCGAAGGCGGCAUCCUGGACCGGCAUUGACGCUGAAGCGCGAAAGCUAGGGGAGCAAACGGG
rnacentral:rRNA from 1 species